rnacentral:rRNA from 1 species
GACGAACGCUGGCGGCGUGCUUAACACAUGCAAGUCGAACGGAAAGGCCCUGCUUUUGUGGGGUGCUCGAGUGGCGAACGGGUGAGUAACACGUGAGUAACCUGCCCUUGACUUUGGGAUAACUUCAGGAAACUGGGGCUAAUACCGGAUAGGAGCUCCUGCUGCAUGGUGGGGGUUGGAAAGUUUCGGCGGUUGGGGAUGGACUCGCGGCUUAUCAGCUUGUUGGUGGGGUAGUGGCUUACCAAGGCUUUGACGGGUAGCCGGCCUGAGAGGGUGACCGGCCACAUUGGGACUGAGCUACGGCCCAGACUCCUACGGGAGGCAGCAGUGGGGAAUAUUGCACAAGGGGCGGAAGCCUGAUGCAGCAACGCCGCGUGCGGGAUGACGGCCUUCGGGUUGUAAACCGCUUUCGCCUGUGACGAAGCGUGAGUGACGGUAAUGGGUAAAGAAGCACCGGCUAACUACGUG